GGUAUGUCAGAGGAGUUAUUCACACAUCCGUUUGAAGAAAUGAGUGAUGCGCAACCAUUAUUGCCAGAGGAUGUAGAUAACAGGGAUAUGUCUCAGGCAGGCAGCAUUACGCACAUGGACGUACGGUGUGAUGAUGAUGAUGAUGUUGUACCCGCUGCUGCUUCCUUUGCUGAGUUGUCAGAUACAAGUGAAGCGGUUGAUGAUGACGAUGCGUCCAUGGAUGUCACGUGG